CAGGGCCAAGCACACAGUGGCUCACGGAAGGCUAAUUGUAGCGUGAACAAGUUCUUGCUGUCUGAGCAGCAUAAGCCAAAUUCACUGCUCACACAAGGUGGAACCUGUGACUGUGGUCUCACCACGCUGGGCCUCUGUGGUCAAUUGGAAAGACUUUACAUCUGACUAGUAAUAAUUACAUACACACACACACUGUAUUUAGUGAACUGCCAUCAUGAUCAGGUUUUAUGAAUGCAGGAUCUCUAAUUUUCAGAACACUCCUGCAAGCUUGAGGUGAUUGUCCUCAUUUUAUAAAGAGAAAGCUGAGGCUUAGAGCAAGUACAGGGUACUGUGGUUGAAUAUGUACCAGGACUGAAGCUCAGAGCACAAAUUCAGGUGUGCCAGUGUAUCAAACACUUCUUAUGCCCGAUUUCACCCGCCUUGGCCUCACCUGCUUCUCUUUCACCAUCACGGAUUUUGUUCCAGCUUCAGCAGGUAUCACCUGAGAGAGCUGUGCUUCAAGCCGAUGCCUCAGGCUUCUCACCUUCUGCAUCAGGGCUGCUGUCUUGAUACCAUGGUGUCGUAGGACUGUUGGCGCCGUUCCACAUCGGGGCAGGGUGUGAAUAAGAAGAAAGGAAACCUCAUUUAAAAUGGAGUUGGGAGGCCAGAAGCGGGAGCUGGGGCACAAUUACAGACCCCCACAAGAAGACUUCUCGCCUAGCAACAAGCCUGGCCAGUGGGAAACCAUUAUCACUCUGAACUCUCAUUUUCCUCCAAUGAACUUUCCUUCAAAACAACCCCCCAACUUCCUCCUUUUCUCUGUAAAGUAACAUUCCUCUCCCUUGUUUGCUGAACUUGCCUGUGGCUUUUGCUACAGCUUGCUUGUCUGAAUUGCAAUUCCUCUGCUGUUCCUGAAUAAACCCCUUUGCUGGUAAAAUAACUGGCUGUUUUAUUUUGAAGGACAAGAAGGGCUGAGAUUGUUUGAAGCCAAUGUGGAGCCAGGGAGAAGUGGAACAGGCUGCCUGCACGGUGCUGAGGGUAGUCCAGGGCCAUCUUGCAAUAAACAGAACACAAAAUUCAUAUACGUUCUCCCCACCCACCCCUGCUAAAAUUUGGUUAUAAAAAUUUGGACGCAAACCACUUAUAUCUUAAAAGACAAAACAGGAGACUUCAAAGACUUUGAAAACUGAGUAGGCUAGUCCCUGAGACUCAGUAGUUAGAGGUACCUGGGAGACAGGGUUGAGAAGCGUGGUCUGGGGUCCUUUCUCUCAGCUUGGGCCGCAUUCCGUUGCCUGCCCUGUCUGGUGGAGAGGUGAAGUAAG
rnacentral:lncRNA from 1 species